rnacentral:lncRNA from 1 species
AGAACCACACAGCUAAGCUUUGCUUACAUGUUUUGCGAAGGGAGUCUGCGAUCUUAGGAUAACGGCCUUUAAGGACCCCAGUAAAGGGACACUCAAAGCUGGCUUGCAGCUCCUCUGAAGGGCACAUUGUCAGCAAUGAUUGAAGUGGCAUCUUACCCAGGAGCGGCUGCAGGCUCGAGCUGCCAGGGUUCCCGGCCAGCUUUCUAAAACACCAUUAUUCUUGGACAUGCAAGUCGAACGAGUGAAAACCUGAAUUCUCCCCACCCCCACGAUCAUCCUGCUUGUUUUAACUAGAUUAAGUGCAUCUGUUUACUAAGUCUUCAUAAUGUCCUGGGUACUGAAGAUUUAACGCCAUUAAACGUGCCUUUGUGGAAAGAGGCAAAUCGAAAGUGGAUCCCCGAGGCUUUCUGAGGCUGGACUGUGGGCCAGGGGCCGAACAGAGAAAGCCACGGCUCAAGGAAGGACAUGGAAGGAAGUUGCUGGCUAAAUUCCCAUCAGGCAGAUCUUGGGAGAAAUCAGGAAAAAAAAAAAACUAUAUAAGGCCAAUAUUAUAAACACCCUGGUCCAGGGACAGGCUUCUUGGGACUCAUUUUCAGACAUCUUUCCCCAGGCAUGGCCGUGGCCCAGGGGGAUAGCUAAGGGAUUUUUACCACAGACUUGCCUGGCAGAAUGCUCAUCAA